AUGCUUAUUUAGGACAGCACAUAGACUAAAAUUGGAAUGAUACAGAGAGGAUUAGCAUGUCCUCUGCACAAGGAUGACACGCAAAUUUAUAAAGCAUCCCAUAUAUAU
ensembl:snRNA U6 U6 spliceosomal RNA